CAAGGCUGAAACUUGAUAGGGAGCGAAAAUAAGUAGCGAAGCAUGCGAAUCCCCGCUGGCGAGAAAAGAUGCUGGCAAUGAUAUGGGCGCCCGUACCGCAAACCGACGCAGGUGGGCGAGGAGAGAAUCCUAAGACGAACGAGAGAACUCUUGUUAAGGAACUCGGCAAAAUGACCACGUAACUUCGGGAGAAGUGGUGCCUCGAAAGAGGCCGCAGAGAAUAGGCCCAAGCGACUGUUUAGCAAAAACACAGGUGUUUGCGAAAGCGAGAGCUGAAGUAUAAGCGCUGACGCCUGCCCGGUGCUGGAAGGUUAAGAGGAGUUGUCAGGCAACGAAGCAGCGAAUCGAAGCCCCAGUAAACGGCGGCCGUAACGAUAACGGUCCUAAGGUAGCGAAAUUCCUUGUCGGGUAAGUUCCGACCCGCACGAAUGGCGUAACGACUUGGGUACUGUCUCAACAAGAGACUCGGUGAAAUUGAAGUAUGUGUGAAGAUGCACAUUACCCGCGACUGGACGGAAAGACCCCGUAGAGCUUUACUGUAGCUUAGCAUUGGAUUUCGAUAAUGGAUGUACAGGAUAGGUGGGAGACUGGGAGACUGUGGCGUCAGCUGCAGAGGAGUCGGUGUUGGGAUACCACUCUUCUGUUAUUGAAAUUCUAACAAGCAGCCGUGAACCGGCGCUUGGACCGUGCUAGGUAGGCAGUUUGACUGGGGCGGUCGCCUCCCAAAGAGUAACGGAGGCGCCCAAAGGUUCCCUCAGAAUGGAUGGAAACCAUUCGAAGAGUGCAAAGGCAGAAGGGAGCCUGACUGCGAGACGGACAGGUCGAGCAGAGAGGAAACUCGGGCUUAGUGAUCCGGCGGUAUUGAGUGGAAAAGCCGUCGCUCAACGGAUAAAAGCUACCUCGGGGAUAACAGGCUGAUCUCCCCCAAGAGUCCACAUCGACGGGGAGGUUUGGCACCUCGAUGUCGGCUCGUCGCAUCCUGGGGCUGAAGCAGGUCCCAAGGGUUUGGCUGUUCGCCAAUUAAAGCGGCACGCGAGCUGGGUUCAGAACGUCGUGAGACAGUUCGGUCCCUAUCCAUCGUGGGCGAAGGAAUCAUGAAAGGAGCUGUCCCUAGUACGAGAGGACCGGGAUGGACGCAUCACUGGUGAAACUGUUGUCGUGCCAACGGCAUAGCAGGGAAGCGAAAUGCGGACGGGAUAAACGCUGAAGGCAUCUAAGCGUGAAGCCCACCUUAAGAUAAAGAUUCCCACAGCGUAAGCUGGUAAGACCCCUUGAAGACGACAAGGUUGAUAGGUCAGCGCUGGAAGCGCGGUAACGCGUGGAGGUUGCUGAUACUAAUAGGUCGAGGGCUUG
rnacentral:rRNA from 1 species